ACACCGUGACUUGCUUCCAAGGAAUAGAAUAUGACAGAAGUGAUGUGAUGUCACUUCCAAGAUUAGUUGGGCCUGGUCUCUCACUCUCCAAUCAACCAGCCGCCGGGUCACCAGAACACUUAGGCAGCCUAAGGCGAGCAUGACCGGGAACGGAAGCCUGCCAACAACCACGGUCAGCACAGAGAAAGAAGAAAUUCCACGGUGGACCACAGCCGCAGCUCCUACCUGAGAGUUCCAGCCUGCCACCUGCCUAAUAGAUUUUGGACUCAUCUAGCCAGCCCCCCACAAUGAUGUAGUUCCUUGUAAUAACUCAAGAAUGUCUAGCUACAUCUAAAACUAACCUGUAUAUUAAAAAGUAUAUAUAAAA